CGCGGCCUAUCAGCUUGUUGGUGGGGUAAUGGCCUACCAAGGCUUUGACGGGUAGCCGGCCUGAGAGGGUGACCGGUCACACUGGGACUGAGACACGGCCCAGACUCCUACGGGAGGCAGCAGUGGGGAAUAUUGGACAAUGGGCGGAAGCCUGAUCCAGCAACGCCGCGUGAGGGAUGACGGCCUUCGGGUUGUAAACCUCUUUCAACAGGGACGAAGCGUGAGUGACGGUACCUGUAGAAGAAGCACCGGCCAACUACGUGCCAGCAGCCGCGGUAAUACGUAGGGUGCGAGCGUUGUCCGGAAUUAUUGGGCGUAAAGGGCUCGUAGGCGGUUUGUCGCGUCGGGAGUGAAAACAUCGGGCUUAACUCGGUGCUUGCUUUCGAUACGGGCAGACUUGAGGCAUGCAGGGGAGAACGGAAUUCCUGGUGUAGCGGUGAAAUGCGCAGAUAUCAGGAGGAACACCGGUGGCGAAGGCGGUUCUCUGGGCAUGUUCUGACGCUGAGGAGCGAAAGUGUGGGGAGCGAACAGAAUUAGAUACCCUGGUAGUCCACACCGUAAACGUUGGGCGCUAGGUGUGGGAUCCUUCCACGGGUUCCGUGCCGUAGCUAACGCAUUAAGCGCCCCGCCUGGGGAGUACGG
rnacentral:rRNA from 1 species